rnacentral:rRNA from 1 species
UACGUAGGGUGCAAGCGUUAAUCGGAAUUACUGGGCGUAAAGCGUGCGCAGGCGGUUCUAUAAGACAGAUGUGAAAUCCCUGGGCUCAACCUGGGAACUGCAUUUGUGACUGUAGAGCUGGAGUACGGUAGAGGGGGAUGGAAUUCCGCGUGUAGCAGUGAAAUGCGUAGAUAUGCGGAGGAACACCGAUGGCGAAGGCAAUCCCCUGGGCCUGCACUGACGCUCAUGCACGAAAGCGUGGGGAGCAAACAGG